rnacentral:rRNA from 1 species
CAAUCUGCUAGUGUUGAUGAACAACCAGUUUAUACUGCCGAUAUUUAUGAUCCAAGAAAUUAGGAUAAUCUUGAUAAUAAAGCAAGAGAUGUGUUAGUUGAGAAAGGGCCUAUGAGAGAGGGAAAAAUGGAAUACAAGGUAGAUGAUGCAGGAAGACAUUUUUCGUAUGCUCAUUAUCAUAGAAAAUUAAGAAAU